rnacentral:rRNA from 1 species
CGAAUCUGCAAAAGCAGAACGACCAGAGAA